UAUGUCUGGGAACUGCCUGAUGGAGGGGGAUAACUACUGGAAACGGUAGCUAAUACCGCAUAACGUCGCAAGACCAAAGAGGGGGACCUUCGGGCCUCUUGCCAUCGGAUGUGCCCAGAUGGGAUUAGCUUGUWGGUGGGGUAACGGCUCACCWAGGCGACGAUCCCUAGCUGGUCUGAGAGGAUGACCAGCCACACUGGAACUGAGACACGGUCCAGACUCCUACGGGAGGCAGCAGUGGGGAAUAUUGCACAAUGGGCGCAAGCCUGAUGCAGCCAUGCCGCGUGUAUGAAGAAGGCCUUCGGGUUGUAAAGUACUUUCAGCGGGGAGGAAGGGAGUAAAGUUAAUACCUUUGCUCAUUGACGUUACCCGCAGAAGAAGCACCGGCUAAC
rnacentral:rRNA from 1 species